GCUGUGGUUUGGAGUUUGUUUAAAAAAAGCCUCAUCAACCUCUUCUUCCUGGUUAGGUUGUCUAUAGUAGACCCCUACCAUGACAUCACCCUUGUUUUUACCCCUUCUGUCCUUACCCAGAGACGUUCAACAAAUCUGUCUCCUAUUUCCAUCUCAACUUCAGUCCAAGUGUAUACAUUUUUGAUAUACAGGGUAACACCUUCUCCCCUUUUUCCCUGCCUGUCCUUCCUGAGCAAGCUGUACUCUUCUA